rnacentral:rRNA from 1 species
GACGAACGCUGGCGGCGUGCCUAAUACAUGCAAGUCGAACGAACCGCGACUAAGUGCUUGCACUCAGUCAAGGUGAGUGGCGAACGGGUGAGUAACACGUGGGUAACCUACCUCAUAGUGGGGGAUAACAGUCGGAAACGACUGCUAAUACCGCAUAGGACAUAGGAUCACAUGAUCCAGUGAGGAAAGGUGGCGCAAGCUAUCGCUAAGAGAUGGACCCGCGGUGCAUUAGCUAGUUGGUAGGGUAACGGCCUACCAAGGCGAUGAUGCAUAGCCGACCUGAGGGGGUGAUCGGCCACAUUGGGACUGAGACACGGCCCAAACUCCUACGGGAGGACGCAGUAGGGAAUCUUCCGCAAUGGAGGCAAGUCUGACGGAGCAACGCCGCGUGAGUGAAGAAGGUCUUCGGAUCGUAAAGCUCUGUUGUUAGAGAAGAACAGCGCAUAGAGUAACUGCUAUGCGUGUGACGGUAUCUAAACAGAAAGCCACGGCUAACUACGUG